CGGUGUUCAACUGGCGUGCCCGCGGGACGUCCUGCCGGUGAGCUCAGCCCGCGAGGGCGGCUCAACUUGAAAUCCCAUCGCGGUGCUCUUCAUUGAGUGUCGAGGUGGGCCGGCACGAUUACUUUUGAACAAAUUAGAGUGCUUAAAGCAGGCUAAAAUUUUGCCUGAAUACUGUGUAUAUGGAAUAAUGGAAUAGGACCUCGGUUCUAUUUUGUUGGUUUUCGGAACCCCGAGGUAAUGAUUAAUAGGAACGGAUGGGGGCAUUCGUAUUGCGACGUUAGAGGUGAAAUUCUUGGAUCGUCGCAAGACGGACUAAAGCGAAAGCAUUUGCCAAAAACGCUUUCAUUGAUCAAGAACGAAAGUUAGAGGUUCGAAGGCGAUCAGAUACCGCCCUAGUUCUAACCAUAAACUAUGCCAGCUAGCGAUCCGCCGACGUCCCUCUGAUGACUCGGCGGGCAGCUUCCGGGAAACCAAAGCUUUUGGGUUCCGGGGGAAGUAUGGUUGCAAAGCUGAAACUUAAAGGAAUUGACGGAAGGGCACCACCAGGAGUGGAGCCUGCGGCUUAAUUUGACUCAACACGGGAAACCUCACCAGGCCCAGACACUGGAAGGAUUGACAGAUUGAGAGCUCUUUCUUGAUUCAGUGGGGUGGUGGUGCAUGGCCGUUCUUAGUCGGUGGAGCGAUUUGUCAGGUUAAUUCCGAUAACGGACGAGACUCUGACCUGAUAACUAGACGCACUUGCGGCAUCUCAAAGGUCCGCCGGCGGCUGGCUUUGCGCCCGUCGUCGCGCGCGAUUUUUACUGCCGGCGUACAAUAAAUUCUUCUAGAGGGACAAGUGG
rnacentral:rRNA from 1 species